GCCUUCGUGGUGUAGUGGUCAGCACACUCGGCGCGUAUUCGAGAGAUCCGUGGUUCGAGUCCUUGCGAAGGCA
rfam:Stegodyphus mimosarum contig44893, whole genome shotgun sequence.